UUAAUAGAUUUAAAAAUCAUCUGAUUUUUGCAUUAUGAUAUGUGCGCCAACUGUACUCUAAAACCACUAAAACUUGGCCAUGCUUUCUCUCCUUAUUCAAAUCGAUUAUACAACAAGGAACUGCAAACUACAAUACAGCAAAGAACUACAAAAAUGAGCAGCCAAAAUACAGAAGGCGACGAAGAAGUUUCAGAAUUUUUUAGAAGU